CGGCGGACGGGUGAGUAACACGUGGAUAACCUACCUAUAAGACUGGGAUAACUUCGGGAAACCGGAGCUAAUACCGGAUAAUAUAUUGAACCGCAUGGUUCAAUAGUGAAAGACGGUUUUGCUGUCACUUAUAGAUGGAUCCGCGCUGCAUUAGCUAGUUGGUAAGGUAACGGCUUACCAAGGCAACGAUGCGUAGCCGACCUGAGAGGGUGAUCGGCCACACUGGAACUAAGACACGGUCCAGACUCCUACGGGAGGCAGCAGAG
rnacentral:rRNA from 1 species